rnacentral:rRNA from 1 species
GUCCACGCCGUAAACGUUGGGCACUAGGUGUGGGACUCUAUCGACGGGUUCCGUGCCGUAGCUAACGCAUUAAGUGCCCCGCCUGGGGAGUACGGCCGCAAGGCUAAAACUCAAAGGAAUUGACGGGGGCCCGCACAAGCGGCGGAGCAUGUGGCUUAAUUCGAUGCAACGCGAAGAACCUUACCUGGGCUGAACUAUGCGGGAAAAGCCGUAGAGAUACGGUGUCCUUCGGGGUCCGCGAUAGGUUGUGCAUGGCUGUCGU